rnacentral:rRNA from 1 species
AUAGCGGCCGGGAACCACCUGAUCCCAUCCCGAACUCAGAAGUGAAACCAGCCUGCGCCGAUGGUACUUUGUCUUAAGGCACGGGAGAGUAGGUCACCGCCGGGC